rnacentral:rRNA from 1 species
AGGAUGAACGCUAGCGGCAGGCUUAACACAUGCAAGUCGAGGGGUAGAGUUAGCUUGCUAACUUGAGACCGGCGCACGGGUGCGUAACGCGUAUGCAAUCUACCUUUUACAGGGGGAUAGCCCAGAGAAAUUUGGAUUAAUACCCCAUGGUAUUAUAGAAUGGCAUCAUUUUAUAAUUAAAGUCGCAACGGUAAAAGAUGAGCAUGCGUCCCAUUAGUUAGUUGGUAAGGUAACGGCUUACCAAGACUAUGAU